CUCACCACUCCACUAACAGUUGUAUGAACAGGACUGAGUGGAUGGUGCCAGGCAGGAACAGGCUGCUGGUGGCAGGAGGGAGAAGGUGGUGUGGCUGUGGGGAGCCCCUUCAGCCAUGAAGAGAGGUGCCCAGGUUAAGUGUUGAGUUUCAAGGGAGAAUUUGGACUCUCUCCUUCACAGGGCUGCCCUGCGCUGCCUCCCUGCAAAGCCAUGAAGAGGGGAGGCUGUGACAACCUCCCGAGGGUACCUACAGCAGGUGGUAUGAGCAGAGACUUUGGCUUGUGCUGUCUGAGGAUUCUGGUAGAUGUUUCGGAGAAGGGAACGUUCUGCUGCAUUCUGGUGGAGGGUUGUCAGAGGGGGAAGAGCCAGGAUGCUGAAGCCCAGCACCCCAAACUGUUGUGACUGCUUGGGAUUGAUGACAUCUAGAAUGAUACAUGUUGGAUCAUCAGAACAGAGUGGGAGCAGCACAGCUUGGUUUCAGGAGCCAAAAAUAGGCUGUGGUUUGCUUACCUUCUGCUGCAGUGUCACCCCACCCACCCCGGGCCCACGAAAUACUCCAAAUGGGGAAUUUGUCCACACUGAUCUCUUAUCUGAGUUCAGUUAGCCUUUCAACACUGCAAAUAAGCUAUUCAGUAUUACUUCCUAGCAUGACCUGGCAGCGUGAGAAGUAGUGGCUCACUGCGGAUACUGCGAUGACAACCCCAGAAGACCAGAUGAGUGCUACCUGAUAUCUGCACGCCCAGGUGCUGCAGCAUGAC